CUUUUCCACACCUUUAGUAUUGUGUUAGAUGAAUGUUUCUCAUCAGCAGGGACUGAAGUAUUUGCCAAGGUAGAAGAGGAAGUGAAUGAGAAAAAUAAAGAAAAGUUCUGGAAGAAAAACUGCUGCUUCUGCAAGAACUCUGAAGUUGGAACCAAAGUUUACCUUUCAGCAUGACAGCAACCCAAGCACACUGACAAACCAACACUGUAAUGGUUAAGGAAUAAAAAAGCAGGCAGGGGUAGGUGGGAUCCCACAGUUCAUUUCAAACAAUCAACCAACCAACAGGUUGCUGGACCACACACUAAAGGUUGUUUCUGGGCAGAUUACCUAUUAAGUGGAUGAAACUGACCCGUAGUAGCAUCUCAAAAGUAAAAAUAAACUAUAGAAUCAUGAGAAAUUUCUGGAUUUUGGCCCCUGAAUCUUGUCCCUUCAAACCAGUCUCCAUUAUCUUGAUCACUUCCAGCUAUUUUGACACACUUUUCAUCAGACCUAGCUAG
rnacentral:lncRNA from 1 species